UACGUAGGGGCCCAGCGUUGUCCGGAAUUAUUGGGCGUAAAGAGCUCGUAGGCGGUUCGGCAAGUCGGAUGUGAAAUCUCCACGCUUAACGUGGAGGGGCCAUUCGAAACUGCUGUGACUCGAGUCCGGUAGGGGAGUGUGGAAUUCCCGGUGUAGCGGUGAAAUGCGCAGAUAUCGGGAGGAACACCAGUAGCGAAGGCGGCACUCUGGGCCGGAACUGACGCUGAGGAGCGAAAGCGUGGGGAGCGAACAGG
rnacentral:rRNA from 1 species